GACCGUACGGUUCAACACACGACUAGACCCGAACGAUAUCACGUGUUUUUGAAUCGAACGUUGUAGGUCAACGUUGACUCAAUCACACUUCGGUGACAGUGUCGUGAGUCGCGAUUUAUUUCGGACCUCUUCGUUUUCUCCUCUUCCUGCGCCAUGAUACCUUCCCACCGCGCCCUUCUUCUUCUUCCCCUUUAGGAAGUCUCGUCCCAUUAGCUCGUGCAGAAUUUCCUGAAAGCCCCUGCGAGAGAGAAGCGGCCAUUCCUGAGCCUGAGGCUUUUAAAGGUAGCUUCUUGACGUAGAUAUACAGAAAAGUUCGAACUUUGGGAGGGGUGCGGAGGAGGGAGGAAGGUAUGGAGAGCUACCUGAACCAGAACUUUGGCGGUGUGAAGCCGAAACACUCGUCGGAAGAGGCCCUCCAGCGAUGGCGGAAGCUGUGCGGCGUCGUAAAGAACCCCAAGCGCCGGUUCCGGUUCACGGCCAACCUAUCCAAGCGGUCCGAGGCCUCCGCCAUGAGGAAGUCUAACCAGGAGAAAUUGAGGGUUGCUGUUUUGGUUUCAAAAGCCGCGCUACAAUUUGUUCAUGGUGUGACCUUACCAAGUGAAUAUAGUGUACCAGAGGAAGUAAAGGCAGCAGGCUUUCGAAUUUGUGCCGAUGAACUGGGUUCAAUUGUCGAGGGCCAUGAUGUGAAAAAGUUGAAAAUUCAUGGUGGUGUUGAUGGAAUAGCAGACAAACUUUCCACAUCAAUAGAUAAUGGACUGAUUGCUUCAGAGGACAAGAUGAUGUGCAGACAAGAGAUUUAUGGAAUAAAUAAGUUUACUGAAUGUCCAGUUCAGAGUUUUUGGGUAUUUAUAUGGGAAGCACUUCAAGACACAACACUUAUAAUUCUUGCGGUGUGUGCCUUUGUAUCUCUAAUUGUUGGCGUGUCUGCAGAAGGAUGGCCAAAAGGCUCACAUGAUGGGCUUGGGAUUGCUGCAAGCAUACUUUUGGUUGUCUUUGUCACAGCAACGAGUGAUUACCGUCAAUCUUUACAGUUCAAAGAUUUGGAUAAGGAAAAGAAAAAGAUAAGUGUACAAGUUACAAGAGAUGGGUUCAGACAAAAGAUCUCAAUAUAUGAUAUACUUCCAGGUGAUAUUGUGCACUUGGCAAUUGGAGAUCAAGUCCCUGCUGAUGGGUUAUUUAUAUCUGGAUUUUCAUUGUUAAUUGAUGAAUCCAGUCUAACGGGAGAGAGUGAACCUGUGGUUGUUAAUUCUGACAAUCCUUUUCUUUUAUCAGGAACUAAGGUUCGAGAUGGUUCUUGUAAAAUGUUGGUAACCACAGUUGGCAUGAGAACCCAAUGGGGUAAGCUGAUGGCAACACUUGGUGAAGGAGGAGAUGAUGAAACUCCAUUGCAGAUCAAACUGAAUGGAGUUGCAACUAUCAUAGGGAAAAUUGGUUUAUUCUUUGCAGUUGUAACAUUUGCAGUUCUUGCUGAGGGGCUAAUUAGACAUAAGAUUCAAGAUGGUCUGUACCUUAGCUGGUCCAUAGAUGAUGCACUUGAAUUGUUGGAUUAUUUUGCCAUUGCAGUUACUAUUGUAGUCGUUGCUGUUCCUGAAGGGUUGCCCUUAGCUGUGACCUUGAGUCUUGCAUUUGCCAUGAAAAAGAUGAUGAAUGACAAAGCAUUAGUUCGCCAUCUUGCUGCUUGUGAAACUAUGGGUUCAGCCACAUCAAUUUGCAGUGACAAAACUGGGACGCUGACAACCAAUCACAUGACUGUAGUGAAAACUUGUAUAUGUGGCAAUAUUAAUGAGGUAAGUGAUCGUGAGGAAGUUAGAAACUUCACCCAAAUUCCAGAUAAUGCUAUCAAGAUACUCCUGGAGUCAAUCUUUAAUAACACUAGUGGAGAGGUUGCUCUCAAUCAAGAAAGAAAAUUUGAGAUCCUUGGAACACCAACUGAGACUGCUUUGUUAGAAUUUGGUUUGUCACUUGGUGGAGAUUUUCAGGCUGUGCGUCAAGAAACCAAUCUUGUCAAAGUCGAACCUUUCAAUUCUGUAAAGAAAAGAAUGGGUGUAGUGCUCCAACUUCCAGGAGGAGGAUACCGUGCCCAUUGUAAAGGUGCUUCAGAAAUUAUAUUGGCUGCUUGCAGCAACGUUCUAGAUCCUGCAGGUACUGCUGUUCCACUUGAUGAAGUUACUGUUGGUCAUCUCAAGAGUACAAUUGAUACCUUUGCUAAUGAAGCUCUUCGCACUCUUUGCCUUGCCUAUAUGGAGAUUGAUAAGAGCUUCUCAGCUGAUGAGCAAAUUCCUGUUGAUGGUUACACCUGUAUUGGAAUUGUCGGCAUUAAAGAUCCAGUUCGACCCGGUGUAAAAGAGUCUGUUGCAGUCUGUAGAUCUGCUGGGAUUACUGUGAGAAUGGUCACUGGUGAUAAUAUAAAUACUGCAAAAGCCAUUGCUCGGGAAUGUGGUAUUCUUACUGAUGAUGGAGUGGCUAUUGAAGGCCCGGACUUCAGAAAAAAGAGUCUAGAAGAAAUGAAUCGAUUGAUUCCGAAGCUUCAGGUAAUGGCUAGAUCUUCACCAUUAGAUAAGCAUGCAUUGGUAAAGCAUCUACAAACCAUGUUUAAAGAAGUUGUUGCUGUUACUGGUGAUGGCACAAAUGAUGCUCCAGCACUUCAUGAGGCAGAUAUUGGACUUGCAAUGGGCAUUGCGGGAACUGAGGUGGCAAAAGAAAGUGCUGAUGUUAUUAUACUGGAUGACAAUUUUUCAACCAUCGCAAUUGUGGCAAAGUGGGGUCGUUCUGUAUAUAUAAACAUUCAGAAAUUUGUACAAUUUCAGCUGACUGUAAAUGUUGUUGCGCUAGUUGUAAAUUUUUCAUCAGCAUGCUUAACAGGACAUGCUCCACUCACUGCUGUUCAGCUGCUUUGGGUAAACAUGAUUAUGGACACACUUGGAGCACUUGCAUUAGCCACUGAGCCUCCUAAUGAUGAACUGAUGAAACAAGCUCCAGUUGGAAGGGAAGACAAUUUUAUAAGCAAUGCAAUGUGGAGGAAUAUCUUUGGACAAGCCUUCUAUCAGUUCAUUGUGAUAUGGUAUCUCCAGACAGAAGGGAAAGAGCUAUUUCAACUUGUGGGCCCUGAUUCUGAUCUUACACUCAACACACUCAUCUUUAAUUCUUUUGUAUUUUGUCAGGUCUUCAAUGAAAUUAGCUCCAGAGAGAUCGAGAAGAUAGAUGUAUUGCAAGGCAUAUUGGAAAACUACGUAUUUGUAUCUGUCAUUACUUGCACCGUCAUAUUUCAAUUCAUAAUCAUCCAAUUCCUUGGAGAUUUUGCAGACACAACUCCUCUGACAUUGUCAGAGUGGGUUGUGAGCACAUUGAUUGGAUUUCUCGGCAUGCCCAUUGCUGCCGCCAUUAAGAUGAUUCCUGUGGAUUCCAAGUAGAAAAUCCAAGUGCAAAAGUGAUGCAGAAGGCAUUAAAUUUGUGCUUUUCAGUGUUUUCCCUACCAGUCAAUAUUCUUUUGCAAAAUGGGAUUGCAUCUCUGGUAAUAGUCAGUUGGAUUCCUGGUCAUUUUUAAAUGACUCUUCCAGAUCAUCUAUACUAACUGUUCAUGGAGAGCUAGCCAUCUUGAUACUGCAGACUGCUAACCAUCUUUGUACUAGAUCUGUCUUAAUUUAAUAAAGCCAGGAGGAGUGUUUUGCUUGCCAAGUCAAGAUGGAGAUGCCAUUGUUUUUUCAUUGAGUCUGGGCCACUUUACUCCAAUUACACCAUCAUUUUGACUGCAUCACUGUGUAGAUUACAAGACCCCACAUUAGCUACUGGAAGUGGAGCCUUGGACAUGUUCCUCACUCAAGUUUGGGGGGGCAAGAAAAGAUUACAGUGGCACUAUUCACAUGCUGCUGUGGCCAGCAUACUACAUUAGAAAAGAAACUUGCAACAGCAGGUGGUAGAAACUGAGAAAGUCAUUUGGCUUUUCUUUUGUCAGUGAUCUUUUUAUCAGAUGUGACAGGUGAAACUUUGUAUCUUUGGUAAUUAAUGUUAAGGAGCAUUAGAAUCUGUGGA